UUCUAGUCCUGGAGAGGAAAACUAUGAAGACAGACAAGGAGAUAAUAGUCAGGGCUGUCUAAUUGUAAUAAAAUGAAGCCUGUUUCUUUGUGAUGUCUGUCCUCAGAUAUGGAGAGCUGUGAAAGCCUGUCUGCAGAUGAAGAGGUCCCAAUGAAUGUCCCAAGAGACUGCUGCCACAUCCUUGUAUGCCAUGGGUUGAAUGUAUACCAACCCAAGCUCCAACCACUGAACAAUCCUCUUUCUCUCCAACUGCUGAGCCUGUUCAGACUGACAACACAGUCCAAGGUUCUGAGAGGGGCAAGGAGAAGGACACCAUGAGAUGGGGGAGAACAUUCUUCUACCUGCCAAAAAUUGGUAAUGCAGUGCUCUUCCUCCUGUGCACCAUCAUUGCUGUUGUGAAGUUCAGGGCAAACUGACUCUGUGGUGAA